AUUGAACAUUUUACAUGGGAUUCACUUGAGGUUUACUUAGUGGUUGAAAAAAACUUGAGUUUUUUUUAUAAGACUUAAAAUUUUGACGAAAAUCGUAAAAAUUACAGUAUUUUAAAACAUGUGUUUUGUGGGUACAUCCGAAUUUCGUUUAGAAUCGUUUAUUGUUGCUUACAAGUAUAAAUGAAACAAUGUUAUGUAUCUCACCCCCCCCCCAACUUCCUUUUUGCAAUAAAUAAUAACGGCAUACAUAUUUCCAGUAUCAGAUUUAAUUUUCUUUCUUAUAUACCCAGAAUUGUUUCGUAUUAGGCUGAAAUAUGCACUUUUUGAAGCAAUGUGAAUUUCACCGAGUUGUUCCGAAAGAAUGAUUUUUUUAUCAUUGAACACCCCUACAAAAGACCCCCCUGCAAAAUAAAACUAGGAGAAUGUAAUUUUGUACAUAUAAAGGAUAUGCCUUCUGGAGGUUACAACGUUUGAUACAAAUGUAUGCUCGCAUUUCACAUUUUUUUUCUGUUUUAGAAGUAUAGUAUACAAUUGUAUAGCAAAGUGUUAUUUGUAAUAGUAUCUAUUCGGUUAUUUAUGGUUUUAUGAACAAUUUUCAUUAAUGAAAAAUAGAUAGGGGAAAAUAAAAUUCGACUCUAUAUCGUGUUGGAGCUGAUAGUCUCAGGUGUUUUUUUGAUAACAAUUCCUCAAC